AUUGAACGCUGGCGGCAGGCCUAACACAUGCAAGUCGAACGGUAACAGGAAGAAGCUUGCUUCUUUGCUGACGAGUGGCGGACGGGUGAGUAAUGUCUGGGAAACUGCCUGAUGGAGGGGGAUAACUACUGGAAACGGUAGCUAAUACCGCAUAACGUCGCAAGACCAAAGAGGGGGACCUUCGGGCCUCUUGCCAUCGGAUGUGCCCAGAUGGGAUUAGCUAGUAGGUGGGGUAACGGCUCACCUAGGCGACGAUCCCUAGCUGGUCUGAGAGGAUGACCAGCCACACUGGAACUGAGACACGGUCCAGACUCCUACGGGAGGCAGCAGUGGGGAAUAUUGCACAAUGGGCGCAAGCCUGAUGCAGCCAUGCCGCGUGCAUGAAGAAGGCCUUCGGGUUGUAAAGUACUUUCAGCGGGGAGGAAGGGAGUAAAGUUAAUACCUUUGCUCACUGACGUUACCCGCAGAAGAAGCACCGGCUAACUCCGUG
rnacentral:rRNA from 1 species